GGGAUGGUGGCGCAAUGGUAGCGCAGUGGACUCCAGAUCCAAAGGCUGUCGGUUCGAAUCCGGUUCAUCUCA
rnacentral:tRNA from 1 species